AGCUGUGUUGGGGAGCCCCCCAGUUUUUCCUCUUCGGUUGCUAUGACACCCACCUACUCCAUCGAUGUAGGUAGACCUACCAAGUAUUCCUUUCGAAGGCUGAAGUGAAGACCCUGGUGUGAAGUCUCCACCUAUCUGCAGUUACUGGAAGCACAAAUCCUGAUGGAUGAGCCAUUUUAACCCACAUCACCAAACGAUGGGAAAAAUUCUUUAAGAAUGGACAAGUGCCUGUGUUAGGUCACAGUUUCUUAAUCCUUCUGGCAAUUACAACGCCCCAGGAGGCCUAACAGUUUGCAGUGCCUAGGUUGGGACCCUAUACUUGUAAGAAGCACCUUUCCUGCUGACACCACCCAUCAGUGUUACCUGUUCCGGAAAUGGACCUCCAGUGACUCAAGUCCCACCUCUUGGAGGAGCACAUUCAAUCUGCAUCCAAGCCACAAACACCCUUGUCAUGAUGAGCAGAGAUGGCUGCCAUGGAUUUUUACAGGACAAUCUCGCUCCUCGUGGCACUUCCCAGGCAUGGAUUCCUCCCAUCAGGACCACAAAGAGCCUUUCUGUUCUUGUCCCAAAGAAUCAACAAAGUCUUGUCUGUGUCCAGCCAGGAGAGGGAGGAACCUUGUAGUGUACUUAAGAUGCACUUACUCAGUGUCUCUCAGAAGGAGCCAUGUUGUUUCCUCUUGGCAAACACGAAAAUGGCUGAGAGGAAGCAAAUUAACAUUGCUUUGAGAACAUCAAAAUUCUCUGACAUCUCAGAGUUGACAUUUUCAGCCUCAACCUUUUUAUGCUAUGACGCCAGGCUGCGCUCCAUCUAUAGCCACAUAAAAUAAAAGGUCCCCAUACGUUUCUGAAGUGAAAAUCUUAUGUGACUUUUAAAAUAUUCACACAUUAAAUCUGAAUAAAACUGAUGUG
rnacentral:lncRNA from 1 species